rnacentral:rRNA from 1 species
AGUGAACGCUGGCGGUAGGCCUAACACAUGCAAGUCGAACGGCAGCACAGUAAGAGCUUGCUCUUACGGGUGGCGAGUGGCGGACGGGUGAGGAAUACAUCGGAAUCUACUUUUUCGUGGGGGAUAACGUAGGGAAACUUACGCUAAUACCGCAUACGACCUACGGGUGAAAGCAGGGGAUCUUCGGACCUUGCGCGAUUGAAUGAGCCGAUGUCGGAUUAGUUAGUUGGCGGGGUAAAGGCCCACCAAGGCGACGAUCCGUAGCUGGUCUGAGAGGAUGAUCAGCCACACUGGAACUGAGACACGGUCCAGACUCCGACGGGAGGCAGCAGUGGGGAAUAUAGGACAAUGGGCGCAAGCCUGAUCCAGCCAUACCGCGUGGGUGAAGAAGGCCUUCGGGUUGUAAAGCCCUUUUGUUGGGAAAGAAAAGCAGCAGGUUAAUACCCCGCUGUUCUGACGGUACCCAAAGAAUAAGCACCGGCUAACUUCGUG